GAGAAUCCCACAGGCCGUAAACCCAAGGUUUCCAGGGGAAGGUUCGUCCGCCCUGGGUUAGUCGGGACCUAAGCUGAGGCCGAAAGGCGUAGGGGAUGGACAACAGGUUGAUAUUCCUGUACUACCGAUAACCGUUUGAGAGAAGGGAUGACACAGUAGGAUAAGCUAAGCACACUGUUGGUUAUGUGUGCCCAAGCAUUGAGGCAGUCAAAGUAGGUAAAUCCGCUUUGAUAAUGCUGGGAUGUGAUGGGGAGCGAAAUUUAGUAGCGAAGUAGCUGAUUUCACACUGUCAAGAAAAGUCUCUAUCGAGGUUAAAGGUACCCGUACCGCAAACCGACACAGGUG
rnacentral:rRNA from 1 species